GACGAACGCUGGCGGCGUGCUUAACACAUGCAAGUCGAACGGAAAGGCCCUGCUUUUGUGGGGUGCUCGAGUGGCGAACGGGUGAGUAACACGUGAGUAACCUGCCCUUGACUUUGGGAUAACUUCAGGAAACUGGGGCUAAUACCGGAUAGGAGCUCCUGCUGCAGGGUGGGGGUUGGAAAGUUUCGGCGGGUGGGGAUGGACGCGCGGCUGAUCAGCUUGUUGGUGGGGUAGUGGCUUACCAAGGCUUUGGCGGGUAGCCGGCCUGGGAGGGUGACCGGCCACCUUGGGACUGCGGUACGGCCCAGACUCCUACGGGGGGCAGCAGUGGGGAAUCUUGCACAAUGGGCGGACGCCUGAUGCGGCAACGCCGCGUGCGUGAUGCCGGCCUUCGGGUUGUAAACCGCUUUCGCCUGUGACGACGCGUGAGUGACGGUAAUGGGUAAAGAAGCACCGGCUAACUACGUG
rnacentral:rRNA from 1 species